rnacentral:tRNA from 1 species
GCCUUCCUACUCCAAUUGGUAGAGAGAAUGCGUUUAGGCCGCAUACAGUGUCGGUUCGAAUCCGAUGGAAGGCA